rnacentral:rRNA from 1 species
UACGUAGGGUGCGAGCGUUGUCCGGAAUUAUUGGGCGUAAAGGGCUCGUAGGCGGUCUGUCGCGUCGGGAGUGAAAACUCAGGGCUUAACCCUGAGCCUGCUUCCGAUACGGGCAGACUAGAGGUAUGCAGGGGAGAACGGAAUUCCUGGUGUAGCGGUGGAAUGCGCAAAUAUCAGGAGGAACACCGGUGGCGAAGGCGGUUCUCUGGGCAUUACCUGACGCUGAGGAGCGAAAGUGUGGGGAGCGAACAGG